rnacentral:rRNA from 1 species
GCAAGUCGAGCGGAAAGGCCCUUCGGGGUACUCGAGCGGCGAACGGGUGAGUAACACGUGAGCAACCUGCCCUAGGCUUUGGGAUAACCCCGGGAAACCGGGGCUAAUACCGAAUAGGACCUGGCCUCGCAUGAGGCUGGGUGGAAAGUUUUUCGGCCUGGGAUGGGCUCGCGGCCUAUCAGCUUGUUGGUGGGGUGAUGGCCUACCAAGGCGACGACGGGUAGCCGGCCUGAGAGGGCGACCGGCCACACUGGGACUGAGACACGGCCCAGACUCCUACGGGAGGCAGCAGUGGGGAAUAUUGCACAAUGGGCGGAAGCCUGAUGCAGCGACGCCGCGUGAGGGAUGACGGCCUUCGGGUUGUAAACCUCUUUCAGCAGGGACGAAGCGUAAGUGACGGUACCUGCAGAAGAAGCGCCGGCCAACUACGUGCCAGCAGCCGCGGUAAGACGUAGGGCGCGAGCGUUGUCCGGAUUUAUUGGGCGUAAAGAGCUCGUAGGCGGCUUGUCGCGUCGACUGUGAAAACCCGCAGCUCAACUGCGGGCCUGCAGUCGAUACGGGCAGGCUAGAGUUCGGUAGGGGAGACUGGAAUUCCUGGUGUAGCGGUGAAAUGCGCAGAUAUCAGGAGGAACACCGGUGGCGAAGGCGGGUCUCUGGGCCGAUACUGACGCUGAGGAGCGAAAGCGUGGGG